CCGCCCCUCCCCCCCUCCAAAAAGACCCUUAGUCUACUGCUGAUCAAAACCUGAAACUGCUAUCAAAAAUUUAUGGGAGAAGAGAAAAACGUUUGUCACCUCCGCCGGCAUCAACUACUCAUCUUAGAGUUUCUUCUCAUCAAGUGAUGUAGAUUUUGAGGGUGGUCCUUCACCCAAGGAGAGAGAGAUCAGAAGUCCCAAAGCUACUAUGACUUCUCCUAGUUCGACUUUAGCAGAUACAAAGUACCAAAGUGGGAAGCAGAAAGGGAGUAGACAUACUUCUGAUAGGGAUCUCUGUGAGAAACUCAAAAUUGGAGGCAUGGACACCUCAGAACUUCAUUCAAGUGGUAAAAAGAAAACAUAUAGGGAAAGUGCCAUCAAGCUCAAUCAUUUUUGGGAUUUCAGAGGCUCUACGAAUCCUUCAAGGAAAAUCAGUAUCCUGACCGUGAUGCAAAUGAGAAGUUGGGUAAAGAAUUAGGCCUAACAACUCACAAAGUUUUAUGAGUUCUCCCUUACGUAUGUUAAUUUCAGCUUCAUCCGCAUUUUCUCCACUUGUAUCUUUGAUUUUGCUUCACUGCUGCCUUCUUUUUCCUUAGUUUCUUUUUGUAAAAUAUACAAGUUAGUAAAUGGUUUGAAAAUACUCGUCAUUGCCAUCGUCAUUCUUCUCGCUGGGACUCAAUUAUGAGUUAAAAAGUCUCGAAAGAAUCUCCUUCCUCACCAAAUAUAAUGGGAGAACCACUUGAAAUUGAAUCUCUAUAUGUGGUAAAGUUAAAGUUGAACAUAGUAGCAUUUCUUAUGUAAUGUUGGGAUAAAUAUAAAAUGUGCAUUUAUUUUCUGCUCUAUGAGCUAUUUACAUUACCAACAAGAAAACAAAUCAAACAAAUUAUUAGUAACUCAUGAAAGGGGAACACUUUUAGAUGUUUAAACUUCUGAACAUUCUUCCAAUCUUGCGUUGUCUGCCUUUAAAGUGAACAUCUUAAUUCUUUUAGUGUUUCAUCCCCGAGUAAUGGAUUAUAUUAUUCCUUGAGCCUUGCUUUAAACUUGGGUUUUUUUAAUUAUGCCCAAUAUUUGCUUUACAUAAUCCACGUGAGAUAACUGCCGGGAGUCUGAAUUUAAUUUUAGAUUCUGCACCCUCCUGUUAUUUGGAUGACAAUAUAUGGACCUGAAAAGGCCAAGAUCUUUCAUUAUGCAUUAUUGUGCUUUUUGUAUAUUUUAUUUAUGUUGUAUAUUUUAAAGCUAAGUCACUUAUACGCAUCAAUCAACUAUGCCCAUAGUAACUAGUUUUGAUCAUACUUUCCCGUUUAUUUGAUUCUAAUUCUAACUGGAUUCACAAGAAUCCUAGGAGAUUGUAGCUCCAUGGAAUCAUAUUUUAGCUUUAAAAUUUUGAUAAAUUAUUCUGCGACCAGAGUAUCAAUUUGAGCCUUGCUUCUUGAGAGGCAUAUUUACCACUACUAAGUUGUAGGGAAGCAUCACGCCUCAUUUACAAGAUAGUUAGGUGUGCUUGUUCGUGAUCAUUAAAUGUGUCCAUUGAGGGUAUACUCAUGGGCAAACAUCGAAGAAGAUAAGCUGGAACAGAGGAAGCUAUUACUGUAAGGAUUUAGAACAUCAUUUUCUUGCUUUAUUUUUCAAGCUUGAUGCAUGUCAAAUAACUUGUAUUUGUUGCUGGUUGUGAACAUUAUAUGUGAGACUUUGGACUCACUCUUUUUCCAUCUUUACAGCCAUGCGCCAACAAUCUUUCCAUUCCCAAAAAAUUUCAUCUUUUUAGACACCCAUACUCACUAAUCUGAUUUCUUUCAGUGGUUGUGGGGAUUAUAAUGCUUGAUGCUCUAAAUUUCUUGUAGUAUUAAUCUUUUAUUUCAUAAUAUUUGUAUUUUCAAUUA